CAGUAGCCGCGGUAAUACGAAGGGGGCUAGCGUUGCUCGGAAUGACUGGGCGUAAAGGGCGCGUAGGCGGCGAUCAAAGUCAGGCGUGAAAUCCCUGGGCUCAACCUGGGGGCUGCGCUUGAUACUUGGUUGCUUGAGUGGGGAAGAGGGUCGUGGAAUUCCCAGUGUAGAGGUGAAACUCGUAGAUAUUGGGAAGAACACCGGUGGCGAAGGCGGCGACCUGGUCCUUGACUGACGCUGAGGCGCGAAAGCGUGGGGAGCAAACAGGAUUAGAGACCCGUGUAGUCCCUGUCUCUUAUAA
rnacentral:rRNA from 1 species